GCCUUUAUCUCUAAGGGACUUUAAUUCUUAUUAGUUUCAAUAUAGACUCGAUACAGCAAAAAAAUGAUAAUUUUCUAUUUUAGUGAAUGUGAAUUUUUCAUAAUCAAAUUUUUUUAUGUGGUUCUAAUUUAAUACUUGAUAAUAAAAAAUAGUUGAAUAUGUGAUAUUAAAAGUUACUUGGAAUUACCUUGUGAUAAUUCUUGAUAUUUUGAAUAAUAUUUUCUUAAAUGCUAUUAUGGAUGAUUAGAGAAAUUUCAGAUAUUCAGUAUGGAAGAUUUGAGAGGAGGCAUUAUAUAGCAUUUCCGAAUAUUGGAUCUUAUGAUAUUCAGUCAAAUAUAGUUGGAUCUUAUGAUAUUCAGUCAAAUAUAGUUUGCUAAUUUAUAAAUUGAUUAAAGAAAAUUACCUUCAAGAAUUACUAACAUUACUGACUUAUCUUAAAUGUUAUAGAGAUGUUAUAUUGAUUGUAAAAGAGAAAUAAUGAAAAAUUUUAAGAGUUUUCCA